AAAUUGAAGAGUUUGAUCAUGGCUCAGAUUGAACGCUGGCGGCAGGCCUAACACAUGCAAGUCGAACGGUAACAGGAAGCAGCUUGCUGUUUCGCUGACGAGUGGCGGACGGGUGAGUAAUGUCUGGGAAACUGCCUGAUGAGGGGGAUAACUACUGGAAACGGUAGCUAAUACCGCAUAACGUCGCAAGACCAAAGAGGGGGACCUUCGGGCCUCUUGCCAUCGGAUGUGCCCAGAUGGGAUUAGCUUGUUGGUGGGGUAACGGCUCACCAAGGCGACGAUCCCUAGCUGGUCUGAGAGGAUGACCAGCCACACUGGAACUGAGACACGGUCCAGACUCCUACGGGAGGCAGCAGUGGGGAAUAUUGCACAAUGGGCGCAAGCCUGAUGCAGCCAUGCCGCGUGUAUGAAGAAGGCCUUCGGGUUGUAAAGUACUUUCAGCGGGGAGGAAGGGAGUAAAGUUAAUACCUUUACUCAUUGACGUUACCCGCAGAAGAAGCACCGGCUAACUCCGUGCCAGCAGCCGCGGUAAUACGGAGGGUGCAAGCGUUAAUCGGAAUUACUGGGCGUAAAGCGCACGCAGGCGGUUUGUUAAGUCAGAUGUGAAAUCCCCGGGCUCAACCUGGGAACUGCAUCUGAUACUGGCAAGCUUGAGUCUCGUAGAGGGGGGUAGAAUUCCAGGUGUAGCGGUGAAAUGCGUAGAGAUCUGGAGGAAUACCGGUGGCGAAGGCGGCCCCCUGGACGAAGACUGACGCUCAGGUGCGAAAGCGUGGGGAGCAAACAGGAUUAGAUACCCUGGUAGUCCACGCCGUAAACGAUGUCGACUUGGAGGUUGUGCCCUUGAGGCGUGGCUUCCGGAGCUAACGCGUUAAGUCGACCGCCUGGGGAGUACGGCCGCAAGGUUAAAACUCAAAUGAAUUGACGGGGGCCCGCACAAGCGGUGGAGCAUGUGGUUUAAUUCGAUGCAACGCGAAGAACCUUACCUGGUCUUGACAUCCACAGAACCCUGUAGAGAUACGGGGGUGCCUUCGGGAACUGUGAGACAGGUGCUGCAUGGCUGUCGUCAGCUCGUGUUGUGAAAUGUUGGGUUAAGUCCCGCAACGAGCGCAACCCUUAUCCUUUGUUGCCAGCGGUCCGGCCGGGAACUCAAAGGAGACUGCCAGUGAUAAACUGGAGGAAGGUGGGGAUGACGUCAAGUCAUCAUGGCCCUUACGACCAGGGCUACACACGUGCUACAAUGGCGCAUACAAAGAGAAGCGACCUCGCGAGAGCAAGCGGAUCUCAUAAAGUGCGUCGUAGUCCGGAUUGGAGUCUGCAACUCGACUCCAUGAAGUCGGAAUCGCUAGUAAUCGUGGAUCAGAAUGCCACGGUGAAUACGUUCCCGGGCCUUGUACACACCGCCCGUCACACCAUGGGAGUGGGUUGCAAAAGAAGUAGGUAGCUUAACCUUCGGGAGGGCGCUUACCACUUUGUGAUUCAUGACUGGGGUGAAGUCGUAACAAGGUAACCGUAGGGGAACCUGCGGUUGGAUCACCUCCUUA
rnacentral:rRNA from 1 species